AUUUUGCUAUCUCGUGGGGUAUCGCCGUAUCGCUCUGCUACUAUUACUUAUUCGACUAGUUAAUAGUGCCGCUGAGUAUAGGUAGUCAAAUUACACCAUUUCCGGCAAGCUCCUCCGGUCAAAUACUUUCCGGCGAUUUAACGGCUAUUAGGUGUAUGUGUUGCUUGUCCUGUUGAUACAGCACAAAGUUGGUGCUUGUUCUUUCUAUAAUGUCGUGUGAAUGAGUAGCUGAAGAAAGCCAGCUUGUUAUUGUGAUGUCAA